rnacentral:rRNA from 1 species
AUUGAACGCUGGCGGCAUGCCUAACACAUGCAAGUCGAACGAGUGGCGGACGGGUGAGUAAUGUCUGGGAAACUGCCUGAUGGCGGGGGAUAACUACUGGAAACGGUAGCUAAUACCGCAUACCAUCAGAUGUGCCCAGAUGGGAUUAGCUAGUGGGUGGGGUAAUGGCUCACCAAGGCGACGAUCCCUAGCUGGUCUGAGAGGAUGACCAGCAAAACUGGAACUGAGACAGGGUCCAGACUCCUACGGGAGGAAGCAGUGGGGAAUAUUGCACAAUGGGCGCAAGCCGGAUAAAGCAAUGCCGCGUGUAUGAAGAAGGCCUUCGGGUUGUAAAGUACUUUCAGCGGGGAGGCGUUACCCGCAGAAGAAGCAACGGCUAACUCCGUGCCAGCAGCCGCGGUAAUAC